ensembl:lncRNA
GUAAGAAAAGUACCAAGAUAUUUCAUGUGAAUCAGUGGCCUCAGCCCGGGUGGUUGGAGAUGCUGUCCUGCUGCUUGUUCACAACCGGUGCAGAACAGAAAGGCCCUUCCAUCAGUGACUGCAGCAUGAGAGCAUAAAAUGAAACGAUUCCCUCAAUGCACUACUAUGAUAUCUGCAAAUAAAUGCAAAUUUAAAAGGCAAGUGAUAAAAGCAAUGCUCAGAGGGGCUGUGGAAGAUUCACAAUCAGCAAGGCAGAAGAAAAAGGUUUAACUCAAAAGCACAACAUAUUGCCACUGAAGAACUCAACCAACCUUGAUCAGAAGCAGCUGACAGAAAAAAGAGAUGGGAAUGUUCUAGAGUCUCCUCUCCAUGUCUCCCCAGAACAGAAACCCAUGUGAACAAGAAACAAUACACUACACAGACUAGAAGAUUUUUCAGUCUUCCAGCGUUUGGCUAACAUUUAAUGGUGUGGAGUGUCCUUCAAUAUGCUACAGGAGAGCUCAACUGAUGUAAAGCAUAACUGGUCUAAACAAAGCACCUACUUAACAAAGAGCCCAUGGCUAGGAAGAAGGAGAGCCCUUCUUUGUUAUGUCAGUCCGCAGCAAUUAAACAAGGAUAAAUGUUCUGAGUCUUAGCUGGGUUU